rnacentral:misc_RNA from 1 species
GGGCUAUUCCAUUCUCUCACUAGCCAAAUGGGUUACCUCCGGUGGACGAGAAAGGGUUUGGAGUAGCGGGUGCUGAGAAUCUACCACCUGUCUGCUGUCCCAUAUCCGUGUACACAUUAGCGGCACCCUCGUUACCGUAGUUGACAAGUCCAGGAUGCCUGUGAGGUUGUGCAUUGCUGGCUACAUGCUGUCCCAUGUAAGGGGGCCUUGAAGGCAUUGUAGACGGAUAUGGUCCCUGGGGAGGCAACUGUGAUAAGUUAGAUGGUGCCUGGUGUGGAAUCCAUGUCGAUGUGGGAUUACCGUAGCUAGGAGUGCGUAUUAAAUUUGAUGCAGGUUGCCCACUUGGUAAAGCAUUUUGCAAUGGUGCCAUGG